rfam:Gossypium hirsutum cultivar TM-1 chromosome 13, whole genome shotgun sequence
AUCUUGUGGUGAGGGCACUUACAUUGUAACUUUUUGAAUAUUUCCCAUGCCUCAUAUAAGAAUUUUUCAUCCAUUUGCUAAAAAGUAGGGAUCUCAUUCCGUAACUU